CUGACAUCACCGUCAAUUCGCCUUUCUCACUAACACGAACUCCUACCUUCCUCCUCCCACCCCCCACACAAGCCCACAAACCAUUCUACCACAGGCUGUGCGUGCGCGCUCACAUCCAUAGAGGUAGCACAUCACCAUCACACGCCCAUAUACGCAAGCCAUCACCACCAUAGAGAAAGAGGAAGGCACUCACGCCCGCAGGUUUACCUAACCAACCAUCCACCACCCCGAACCCGAUCUCGAGCGAGAGAUGUCCGGCGAGCCGACGGCGAUGGAUGCGUGCGCUGCGCCUGCGAAGCGUGCGCGGACGGAGGAGGCGGAGACGGAGGUUGCGCGGCCGUCCGGCGAGGCGGCCGGCGUGCCAAGCCUGUCGACCGCGGAGGAUCUCGUCAUGAAACCGGUUGCGGCUGGCACCGAGGUACUGACGGCGGACAAGGUUGCCAAGGGGACGAAUGCCGAGGAGGAGCCGCUGCAGCAGGAGAACCCGCUCCGCUACGUCCUCUUCCCAAUCCAGUACCAUGACAUCUGGCGCAAGUACAAGGAGCAGGAGAGCUGCAUCUGGACGGUGGAGGAGAUCGACCUGGGCAACGACAUGAAGGACUGGGCAACGCUGAACGACGGGGAGCGGCACUUCAUCAAGCACGUGCUUGCCUUCUUCGCCGGCAGCGACGGCAUAGUCAUCGAGAAUCUUGCGCAGCGCUUCAUGAGCGACGUGAAGGUGCCAGAGGCGCGCGCGUUCUACGGGUUCCAGCUGAUGAUGGAGAACAUCCACUCGGAGACGUACUCUGUGCUGCUGGACACGUACAUCACGGACAGCGAGGAGAAGCUGCGACUGUUGCACGCAAUACAGACGAUCCCGUGCAUCCAAAAGAAGGCGGAGUGGGCUGUGCGGUGGAUCGGGAGCAGCGCGAGCUUUCAGGAGCGGCUGAUCGGCUUUGCCGCGGUGGAGGGCAUUUUCUUUUCCGGGUCGUUCUGCGCGCUGUUCUGGCUGAAGAAGCGCGGUCUGAUGCCGGGGCUGACGUUCAGCAACGAGCUCAUCUCGCGCGACGAGGGCCUACACACGGACUUCGCAUGCCUGCUGUACAACUCGCACAUCAAGCACAAGCUGCCGCGCGAGCGCGUGCUGGAGAUCAUCGUGGAUGCGGUGAACAUCGAGCGCGAGUUCAUCUGCGACGCGCUGCCGGUGCGGCUGAUUGGCAUGAACGCGGAGCUGAUGGCGCAGUACAUCGAGUUCGUCGCGGACCGGCUGCUGGUGUCGCUCGGCGAGGAGAAGCACUACCGCUCGACGCAGCCGUUCGACUUCAUGGAGAUGAUCUCGCUGCAGGGCAAAACGAACUUCUUCGAGAAGAAGGUGGGGGAGUACCAGAAGGCUGGCGUGAUGAGCACGGAGGGCACGUCGAAGAAGUUCUCCCUCUCGGAGGACUUCUAGGCGACGUCUCUGUGUAUGUGCUGCUGCUGCUGCUGUCGCUGCCAAAUUCUCCCUGCAUUCCAUCGCGAGCGCGACGCAAUGACGCAUGCUGCGCGGGCAGCGUCCGUGCGGGUGCGGCUGCCGCACGCACCUCCUUUUCCCCUUUUCGACUCCUUCACGCGCACGCACACACCACACACACGCUCCGCUCCUCGCGUGCACACACUCGCGUCUUCCAUAGAUGCAGGCACGGACGCCGCUUCUGCGUAUUUUUAUUCCCCUUUUUCGUUCUUCCGGAGUCGGUUCCGUACAUGAACGUCGCAUAACCACGACGUGAUUGUUUUGGGAUAUGCGCGUGUAGCCUUGGCAGUAUUUUCUACUCUCCGAACACGCGCGUGAGUGUGACUAUGACGUGUGUCUCUCUCUCUAUCGGUGAGUUGGUGUAUGUGUGUCUUUCCUCCUAUGAAGGCUGCCGGCCCCCAUCACCGCUGCCGGCACACACGCACACACACCAUCAAACUCUGCUUCCUGCCCUUUUCCUUCUUCUCUUCCUGCUCUUCUCGCUUCGGCUGUUGCUUAACUUCCUCAACGCCCCUCCACCAACAACACGCAG
rnacentral:misc_RNA from 1 species